rnacentral:lncRNA from 1 species
GGGCAAAUACAAUAUGAGUCUUAAAUAUCUUGUGGUGCCAGAAAAGACUAGCUGUUAAACAGGGCUUUUUCCCUAGAAAGGUGUCAUAAUUUUGACUCCAUCAAAUUCUUCUAACAGCAAGUACUCAUUUGGGCCCAUUUUACAGAAGAAGGAAAACUCUUGAGUGGCUCAAUCUUGGCUCUCCACAACCUCUGCCUCCUGGAUUCAAGCGAUUCUAUUCCCCAGCAUACCAAGAAGCUGGGAUUACAACUUUGUCUACACAGUACAUAUACCAGGUUUCUGACCUGUGUUUUGAAGAUGAAGAAAAACCGAAGCUAUAAGGACUGAGAUAAAAUGCCAAGGACAUAUAGCUUGAAAAAGGCAUGGCUAGAAUGUGCACUCAGUAUGACCUCAGCACCCAAGCUCUUUACCAAUAUAUGCUGCAAUCUUAGGCUCAUCAACUGCACACAGUGAAUUGUGGUGCUACUUCGUCUAAGCCUGCAUUCUCCUUCAGAGCCUACACCUCCCUUUCAGCUGUUUUCACCUUCACUGUUCCAAAAAAAGCAGACUUUGAAAACUUAAGAAAUGACAUUAAAAAAAAUCAAAAUCG